rnacentral:lncRNA from 1 species
UUCUCCAUACAUAACCACAUAUAACCCACUCAUAUCUCCAACACUCCUCACCAAAAAAGGAAACAUGGUGACACACACCAUUCACAAACAUAAAUGUUCAACCUCACGUGAACCACCAACAACACGUCUUCGCACAUCUCCAAACUCCACUCACCACCUUAACUCACAAGAACCAUAUCCAACCCUCAUUUUCACUAUUAAACAAGCCCGCAUAUGAUUCAUACAAGGCCACGGUACACAAUAAAUUUGUUGUCAC